rnacentral:rRNA from 1 species
GACGAACGCUGGCGGCGUGCUUAACACAUGCAAGUCGAACGAUGAAGCCGGAGCUUGCUCCGGUGGAUUAGUGGCGAACGGGUGAGUAACACGUGAGCAAUCUGCCCUUGACUCUGGGGUAACUGCGGGAAACUGUAGCUAAUACCGGAUACGACCCUCGGCGGCAUCGCCAGGGGGUGGAAAGAAUUUCGGUCAAGGAUGGACUCGCGGCCUAUCAGCUAGUUGGUGAGGUAACGGCUCACCAAGGCGACGACGGGUAGCCGGCCUGAGAGGGUGACCGGCCACACUGGGACUGAGACACGGCCCAGACUCCUACGGGAGGCAGCAGUGGGGAAUAUUGCACAAUGGGCGCAAGCCUGAUGCAGCAACGCCGCGUGAGGGAUGACGGCCUUCGGGUUGUAAACCUCUUUUAGUAGGGAAGAAGCGAAAGUGACGGUACCUGCAGAAAAAGCACCGGCUAACUACGUGCCAGCCGCCGCGGUAA